UCACAAGCUGGUGGUGAUAAUAAAAUUGACCAGAGACUUCCACAUCUGUUAAGUGCCGAGUAUUUUUAACAUUGAAGGAGCUCUGGGAACGAUGAAGGAACUGUGACUGUGCACUACAGUCUGGAAGGACAACCAGUGACAAACCAGUUUACUUUCUGCGUUAAAGCUACUGAGGACUCAGGAUGAAGAGUAUGAUUCACAUCCCGGACACCAAGG